rnacentral:tRNA from 6 species
GCCGGGGUGGGGUAGGCGGUUAUCCUACGGGACUGUGGAUCCUGCGACUCGGGUUCGAAUCUCGGCCCCGGCCCCA